AGACCCCUAUUAUAUUGUCUCACCUGUUACACCAUCUGCCACCACCAGCCGUCGCCGGAAAUCGCCCCACGGCGGCGGCGAGUCUCCAAACCACCCCAAAUUCAUACCAGGCAACCACCGAACUGUGCUAAAUCAUAUCCCUACCCCCAUUUCCUAAAACACCCAACGGAAUCCCUCAAAUUUCAAAUCUAAAAUAGCCGAAAUUGUCAAGCUUUCAUUUCUUCAAUUCUUUUCGUUGAUUUUGUCAUACUUUCAGUCGAAAUUAACAUUAGUUAAUGGCUUUUGUCAAGAGGCGUUGAUUAAUGUGAGUUUCGACUCAUCUCAGAUUUGUCGAGGUCCGGUCAUAUUGCCUUCAACUGGGCAGAGUGCUUUCGAGUUUGAUUCUUCGUCUUCAGAAAUGGUAUUUUCCUUCACUUAGGUCGUUGAUGUUCAUCUUUUCUUACAUCUCAUCCUCGUCUGUCUAUCCCUUUACUUUUUCCAUUUUUGUUUCAUUUUCUAUGCUUGCAUGGUUGGUUCCAGGUUUGUGAAGUCAGUAAUGGCUUCGGAGGCUGAAUUUGAAAACACAUUUCAUUUUGUUUGGGACCCAAAUUUCACGAGUCUUUGAGACUCUGCGGGUUGGCUUGUGAAACUUGGGCUUUCAACGACAAGAGAAGGUUCUUAAAAUUAAAAGGCCCAAGAGGGAUUUAAUUUCGGUCUAUAGGCCCAUUAUCCUGGGUCAGUUAACCCGGUUGGGUCCUUAGGGUAAUAAACAGGGUUAAGGGGGGUAAUUUGGGUAGUUUGGAUAGUGAAUCUUUGUAUAACUGAAAGAGAAGCUUCUAUGAAGCUGGGUGGAGGUUUAAAUUGAAUUUCAGCUUUUUUAACUAAGGAUUGGUUAGUUAAAACAAAAAUUUCAAAAGGAAUAAAAUGCAAAUUUAAUCCCUCUGUUGUUGCCCUAUUCCCUUGCCUAUAAAGGCAUCUUUCCUUGCCUUUCAAGGGGGGGGGGGGGGGGGGGGGGUUGGAGACUGAAAAUAUUAAAAAAGGGAAAAAUUCAGAAAAAUACAAAAAAGGGCAGAAAUUUUUACUGUUUUAUUGAAUUUCAGCUAUUUUUGAUUUCUUUUCAACUUCAGAAACUAUUUUUACUCAUCCGAGUGGGAAAUGGACUGAACUUGGUCGUCAAAAGUUGGGUCUAAAAUUUUUGCUAGGCUGUUGUGUGGUUUGAAUUUGUCAUAUUGAGUUGUUAUACAUCAUUUCUGGGUAUGGAGUUGUUUUGCUGGCUGUUUUGGUGCUUGUUCUUGUUGCUGCUCCUGUUGAUUCUUCAUUUCUUAUCUUUGUUCACUUCCAGGUAUACAUUUCUGCACUCCAUUUGAAUGUAAAGCUUGAUUUGGGAAUCAAAAUGGAAUCUGGAGCUUUGAGUUGUAUUCACUUUGAGUUGGAUUAAUAAUAUAGCAUACUUGUUUACUUUGUUUUGUUUAGAAAUUCCACUUACUACCUUUCAAACUAUGAACAAUGUGAUCAACGAUUUAACCUCUUAAUGUCAUACGACAUGGUAGCUUAGUCUAAUGUCCAUCUCAGUAUAGUUCUUUAUAUAUAGUCAUUUUUACUAUUCGUUUGUUUUAAGGUCAGUAGUUGGACUGGUUUAGAUGUAGUAGACCCAAGAUUGUUUAUUUUAGACCGUUAGAUCUGAUUGAAGUUAGUUUUUAUGUUUAGCUUAUGUCUUCUUCCAGAGUCUGAGUUUUGUAUCACAUUUUCUGGUGCAUUGUUUUUUAGAAUUCAAGCAAGGCAUUUGUGUUCUUGAAGAACUGUGAUUCAAAC
rnacentral:lncRNA from 1 species